rnacentral:tRNA from 1 species
GGGCGGUUAGCUCAGUUGGGAGAGCACUAUCCUCGCACGGUAGGGGUCGCCAGUUCGAAUCUGGUACCGUCCA